CAGGCUGCUACAGCCUCCAGGAGCGCUAGUCGCUCCCUCAACAUAGCACUAGAGAAGAGGGUCUCCCGUGAGCCUCGGGGGUAACAUCAGUGCAAUAACAGGUAAACAGCCAGGGCCUGUAGCCAAUGGAGCAAGAAGCCUGAGACACAGCCCCUUCCGCCCUGGAAGCAGAGAUCAAAUUUAAAAGAAAGGAAAAAGGCAAAAAAAAAAAAUCUCAUUAAAGACCUGAGACCUUCUCUUUUUCAGGCAACUGAUAACCUGAAGUCAUGGCAGAGAAACCGAGACUCUACUACUUUAAUGGAAGAGUUUGAAGAACUGAUUUUGGAAACAAG